rnacentral:rRNA from 1 species
GAUGAACGCUGGCGGCGUGCCUAAUACAUGCAAGUCGAGCGAACGGACGAGAAGCUUGCUUCUCUGAUGUUAGCGGCGGACGGGUGAGUAACACGUGGAUAACCUACCUAUAAGACUGGGAUAACUUCGGGAAACCGGAGCUAAUACCGGAUAAUAUUUUGAACCGCAUGGUUCAAAAGUGAAAGACGGUCUUGCUGUCACUUAUAGAUGGAUCCGCGCUACAUUAGCUAGUUGGUAAGGUAACGGCUUACCAAGGCAACGAUGGAUAGCCGACCCGAGAGGACGACCGGCCAAACGGGGACGUGACCAAGGCCGAGAGUCCUACGGGGGGCACCAGGGCGGGAUCUUGGACAAUGGUCUCAAACUUAAACCAGCAAUGAAGAGUGAAGUAUGAAGGUCUAAGGAUUGUAAACUGCUUUUGCACAAAACAAAAAGCACUCCCCGAAUAAACGAGGGUCAUGACGGUACCGAAAGAAUAAGCACCGGCUAACUACGUG